rnacentral:tRNA from 1 species
CAGCAUAGCUUAGCAACAAAGCGUAACACUGAAGCCGUUAAGACGGGCCCUUAAAAGCCCUGCAG